AUACGGAGGGUGCAAGCGUUAAUCGGAAUUACUGGGCGUAAAGCGCGCGUAGGCGGUUUGUUAAGUCGGAUGUGAAAGCCCCGGGCUCAACCUGGGAAUGGCAUUCGAUACUGCCAGGCUAGAGUAUGGGAGAGGGAAGUGGAAUUUCCGGUGUAGCGGUGAAAUGCGUAGAUAUCGGAAGGAACACCAGUGGCGAAGGCGACUUCCUGGCCCAAUACUGACGCUGAGGUGCGAAAGCGUGGGGAGCGAACAGGAUUAGAAACCCUAGUAGUCC
rnacentral:rRNA from 1 species